GUUCUCCGUUACGCAUACGGAGCUGUCAGAAUAUGACGCAUUUUCCACCCGGGCAGCGUUUCUGAGUGCAGGACAAAAGUUAUUGAUGACUAAACUCUCUCUCUCUCUCAUGGCCGACUGGGCUGGAGUGUCCCCAGUGUCCUCUAUUACCCAGCGCCCCACUGAACAUGCUCUGCAGUCUGCUGACCUCCUGCCCUGCCUGUCACCCUGAUGGCUACUGUUAUGCUGGGCUACUUAUUUCACCAAAACGGCCUUUUGUUCCUCCUUGUAUUGAAAACAUCAAGCCAAGCCAAUUACAGGCAUAAACAGACCGGUCAUUUCUAGAAAGAUUGCUGUGCCACCCCAGACUGGUUGCUGGCCCCUGCCUGGCCACCCCUAUGAAAAAAUCCUGGCUCCGCCACUGCUCACUAAGCCAUCGGAUUUUAUCAAAAAUAUGAGUGUGAAUGAAGGGCUUAUGGGUGUGGAACGACAUGAGGGGAAAAAAAGGAGUGGUGGAGAAGAGACUAAAGUAAAAAAGAGAGAGAGAGAGAGAAACACCUAACAGAGGAUUGCACUUGAAAUGACUGCCCAAUGUGACUGGACUGUCUGGCUAGAGGUUAGUGAGAGCUAGAAGCAAGAAAUGGAUGACAACCUUAGGCCAGAGGUCUUCAACUUUUUUUUUUUUUUUUGAUAGAGGGUAGGAACAGAAAACCUUGUUACAUCUUGUAUAAAAGUGAGUGUCACAUUUUAAGCAUGUCAUAUAGUACCUUUUUUUAAAUGUAUUUACAAAGCUUACAUUAAAAAUGCAAAGUCUUGAUUUGGAGUUUGAACUAAUUU